rnacentral:rRNA from 1 species
UACGGAGGUGGCAAACGUCGCUCGGAAUCACUGGGCUUAAAGGGCGUGUAGGCGGUCCGUCAAGUCGGGUGUGAAAUCCCUUGGCCUAACCGAGGAACCGCAUUCGAAACUGAUGGGCUGGAGUGCGGGAGGGGUAAGUGGAACUCCAGGUGUAGCGGUGAAAUGCGUAGAUAUCUGGAGGAACGCCGGUGGCGAAGGCGAGUCUCUGGGAUGAUACUGACGCUGAUGCUCGAAGGUGUGGGGAUCAAACAGG